AUGCACCGGAGGGGGGGUCCUCAUGCAGCCGGGCCCCCCCUGUCCCCAUCCCCCUGGCCGCGGGGCGGGCGAGGGGAAGCCGCGGUGCAGCAGGAAGCCGUGUGGGUGCAGGGCUGGCGGCGUGCAGAGCUGUGGGGUAGAGCUGCCUUCCGCUCCCACUCGCCGCCCUCAAAAAAAGCGCGGGAGCCGCUGCGGAAGGGCGGCUGUGGGGCUCGAGCGGGGCGGCGCUGGCAGGUAAGGGGGCUGGGGGGCUGCAGGGGGGGCAGGCACCAACUCCCCACAUGCCCUGAGCCCCCCUGUGCUCUGGCCCCGCAGGAGGGAGAUGCUCGGCCCUGCCGGAGCAUCCCGGGAUGGACGGACCCAGUCCAGGAACCUAGAGGGACGAGCCGGGGACCUGGCUCCUGCGAGGAUGGAGCCGAGUGCAGGCGGCCCCAGGGGGAUCCCGCCGCGGCCCUUCUCCGUGCGCCCCCUGCACGAGCGGCUGCCCCAGCCGCACGCCGCCGUCCCCCACAUCAACCUGCGCGAACGCAUCCGGUUCUUCGAGGCCGGUCCCUCGGCUGGCCUGCCGCUCCCRGCUCCCUCGGGAAAGGCCGAGAAGAUGCAGCUCCGAGGCGGGACCUGGCCGGCGGCCAGGGACAGGCCUGCACCCUCGAGGCUGCUGGCCCAGGUGGACGCGGCUCCAACGCAGCCUCCUCUCCAGCCGGUCCCCGCUGUGCCACGCUGCUCCGUGCGGGAGCAGGUCCGAGCCCUGGAGCUGCGCUUCACCCCAAAUCCAGCCCCGGGGACCCCGUUGGGACCUGGCUCACGGCAGCGCUGCAGGAGGGAGCCGCAGCCACAGCCGCAGCCGGUCGCAACCACCCAACCGCGCCCGGAUCCGCGAGGCCGCGGGCAGCCGCUGCCCCGGCAGGAGCCGGACGGACGCGCGCGGGGCCGGAGGGCGAUGUGGGCUGGAGCCCGCUGGCUCCCGGGGGCGGCGGGGGCAGCACGGGGGGCUCCGGGGCGGCCCCUGGCUCCGGGCUCGCAGCCGGGCAGGGCAGAGGCCCCCCGGCUCCCCGCGAACCGCCCUGCCCCCGUGUCCGUGCAGAGCAUCGCCCUGGGAUGGACCCAGAGCCCCGGGGAAAGACUGGAGCCCCGGGGAUGGGACAGAGCCCCGGGAAUGACUGGAGCCCCGGGGAAAGACCGGAGCCCCGGGGACGGACCAGAGCCCCGGGGAUGAGGCCUGAGCCCCGGGGAUGGACCGGAGCCCCGGGGACGGGCCGGAGCCCCGGGAAUGACUCUGAGCCCCGGGGACGGGCCGGAGCCCCGGGCCGGGCCCACGCUGGCCCCGAGCCCGGCCCCGCGGRGCUCCGUGAUUCCGCUCCUCGCUAA
rnacentral:lncRNA from 1 species